GGGCCUUGCCGCUUUCUCUCUUCUUCCUGCAGUCUUCCAUGUGAGCAGAAGUCCCCAAGAAAGAGCUAUGGGUCUAUUUGAAAUGGCAGUUCAACCUUGCUUCCCAAUAUGCAGAAUGCAGGUACUGGGUGACACCAAAGGUGCAAGACCAAAACCAUCAAAUGAGAACACAACAUGCAGGUGAAUGGAGAUCUGUCAUUUGUAAAUGAAAACUGCUCAUUCAGGCGUCUAUCCGCUUGACCUCUUGGUGUUGCAGAGCUGUAACAAAGUACAUUCACAUCUGUAAUUUACAGGUAUGGUGCUACGUUGGGAGUGACGUGACAUUUCCAUGAGAGAAUUGCUGCCAACUUUCCGGCUAGGCACAAACACUACUGAAGAAAACCAACUUGGAUCGGAGCUUUCUUGCAGCUGUGAAAUGCAUGAAUGAGUUGACCUGGCUCUUUAACCUUCUAAGACCUGAACUCUUCCAUGGCAUGCUUUUUUGUUUUUUUUUUUUUUUUUUUUUUUAAAAAUGGUCUAAAUAAGCCAAAAAUGUGAAAUCCACAUAUGUGGACGCCAGGUCCUAAGAGGUUAAGGGCUGAACCUAAGAAAAUGAACCCUGUGUGUGACAAUUGCAGAUUGUAAUAAAACUGACUUGACUACCUCUGGAAA